rnacentral:lncRNA from 12 species
GGCCUGCGUGUAGGGCUGGGCAGGAGGAAGCGGGCAGCUCGCAGAGGCCGCCGUGCACACCCUGCACCGGGACAGGCUUGCCAGCGGGAUUGGAAAUGACUCGUCUACUGUGCCUAGUACCCAGUAGUUCCGGAUAAAGAGCAGCCUCCACGAUGAUUUACUACUUGGUAGAGGAUUGUUAUCUGGGACACCCCGCCACAGAAGGAAACCAGGGGAACCUUUGCAGGGGAUGAUGUGAGCAUCUGAACCCAUCUCAGAUGCUACUCUGGCAGGGCCCAGGUGAGGGGCCAUCGGGGCACCUGGCUCAAGCUGGAAGCGGAAAGCAGGCAGUGGGCAGCAGGGCAGGGAAGCCCGAGGCACCACAGGGGCAGCACCGAAAACGGGACCGGUCCAGGGCCGCCAGACCCUCUGACCCACCUACCAAAGCUCGAAGUUGACAUUUUUUUGUGCACUUUCACAAUUUUAAAUAUGGACUCAACUCUUUAUAACUUUUCCUUUGGGGCAUAAUAAACGUGGAUAACAAGAUGCACA